rnacentral:rRNA from 1 species
AGUGAACGCUGGCGGUAGGCCUAACACAUGCAAGUCGAACGGCAGCACAGUAAGAGCUUGCUCUUACGGGUGGCGAGUGGCGGACGGGUGAGGAAUACAUCGGAAUCUACUUUUUCGUGGGGGAUAACGUAGGGAAACUUACGCUAAUACCGCAUACGACCUACGGGUGAAAGCAGUGGAUCUUCGGACCUUGGGCGAUUGAAUUAGCCGAUGUCGGAUUAGCUAGUUGGCGGGGUAAAGGCCCACCAAGGCGACGAUCCGUAGCUGGUCUGAGAGGAUGAUCAGCCACACUGGAACUGAGACACGGUCCAGACUCCUACGGGAGGCAGCAGUGGGGAAUAUUGGACAAUGGGCGCAAGCCUGAUCCAGCCAUACCGCGUGGGUGAAGAAGGCCUUCGGGUUGUAAAGCCCUUUUGUUGGGAAAGAAAAGCAGCAGGUUAAUACCCCGCUGUUCUGACGGUACCCAAAGAAUAAGCACCGGCUAACUUCGUG